GCCGACGUAGCUCAGUUGGUAGAGCAGGGCUUUCGUAAAGCUCAGGUCGUCAGUUCGAGUCUGACCGUCGGCU
rnacentral:tRNA from 2 species